UACGUAGGGCGCAAGCGUUAUCCGGAAUUAUUGGGCGUAAAGAGCUCGUAGGCGGUUUGUCGCGUCUGCCGUGAAAGUCCGGGGCUCAACUCCGGAUCUGCGGUGGGUACGGGCAGACUAGAGUGAUGUAGGGAAGACUGGAAUUCCUGGUGUAGCGGUGAAAUGCGCAGAUAUCAGGAGGAACACCGAUGGCGAAGGCAGGUCUCUGGGCAUUAACUGACGCUGAGGAGCGAAAGCAUGGGGAGCGAACAGG
rnacentral:rRNA from 1 species